rnacentral:piRNA from 1 species
UGGGAUUAAAGGUGUGCGCCAC